ACACAAUGUUACACAAUGUUACCGAUGUUGCACGUUGUUACUGGUGUUACACGAUGUUACUGGUGUUACAAGGUGUUACCGGUGUAACGCGAUGCUACCGGUGUUACACAAUGUUACUGGUGUUACUGGUGUUAUUGGUGUUACACAAUGUUACACAAUGUUACACAAUGUUACACGGUGUUACCGGUGUUACCGGUGUUACACUGUGUUACGGCAUAAACCAAUUACAUUACAGGCCCACAGCCCCCACCGUCAUACAGAUUAUUUUUUGAUUUUGAUGAAUGUGUGUG